rnacentral:rRNA from 1 species
UACGUAGGGACCGAGCGUUGUCCGGAAUCAUUGGGCGUAAAGAGCGUGUAGGCGGCUUGCUAAGUCUUGCGUGAAAUCUCGGGGCUCAACCCCGAGCGGUCGUGGGAAACUGGCAGGCUAGAGUGCGGGAGAGGAGAAUGGAAUUCCUGGUGUAGCGGUGAAAUGCGCAGAUAUCAGGAAGAACACCCGUGGCGAAGGCGGUUCUCUGGAACGCAACUGACGCUGAGGCGCGAAGCGUGGGAGCAAACAGG